rnacentral:rRNA from 1 species
GAUGAACGCUGGCGGCGUGCCUAAUACAUGCAAGUCGAGCGAACGGACGAGAAGCUUGCUUCUCUGAUGUUAGCGGCGGACGGGUGAGUAACACGUGGAUAACCUACCUAUAAGACUGGGAUAACUUCGGGAAACCGGAGCUAAUACCGGAUAAUAUUUUGAAACGCAUGGUUCAAAAGUGAAAGACGGUCUUGCUGUCACUUAUAGAUGGAUCCGCGCUGCAUUAGCUAGUUGGUAAGGUAACGGCUUACCAAGGCAACGAUGCAUAGCCGACUUGAGAGGGUGAUCGGCCACACUGGAACUGAGACACGGUCCAGACUCCUACGGGAGGCAGCAGUAGGGAAUCUUCCGCAAUGGGCGAAAGCCUGACGGAGCAACGCCGCGUGAGUGAUGAAGGUCUUCGGAUCGUAAAACUCUGUUAUUAGGGAAGAACAUAUGUGUAAGUAACUGUACACAUCUUGACGGUACCUAAUCAGAAAGCCACGGCUAACUACGUG